AAUUUUAUAAUCUGAUUGUUAAUUUUGAAAGUGGCCUAACUCCAUUCUUGACAAGAAAACGCAUAUUAUUUUCUUAAUAAUUGCCACUAUUUUAAUAGGAACUAUAAAUUUAACACCCUUAGAUACAUUUAAGUAGUAUAACUCAUUAGUAUCCUAUACGUAUAUUUUUAAAUUCAUUGAAACGCAAACCCUUAAAUAUCUCGAUUUGAAGAUAAAUGGAGUUAGGCCAUUUUCACAAUAAACGGCUCAUAUAUCCAUUUGGCCAAUGAUAUUUAUUUUCUUUGUGAAAAUUAAAGAAAAAGGAAAAUAAAAUAAAUUAAAAAAAAAAAGAGAGAAAAAUAAAAAAGAAGAAGAGAAAUGAACUGUACCAUUCGAAGAUAAAACGAUUGGAAUCUGCCAUAAGUGCGGAACUAUGAAAGAUCAUUAAAAAUAACGAAAGAAAUUUUAAAACUGUAUAUAUUUAAGUACAUACUUACAUAUAUAUAUACAUAUAUACUUACUUACCCAAUGAUACCUCUUUUCUUUGUGAAAAUAAAUUAAAAUAAAUAAAUAAAUAAUAAAAAUAAAAAAGAAAGAAAAAGAACGAACAACAAACAAACGAACUAUACCAUUCGAGACGCGGAACAAGACGUGUAACUCCAGUAGUCUCUGAUAACUUUCUAUGGUAUCGAUUACGAAUGUCGAUCAAGGACGUAAAGGAUGAAAGAUGAUACUCAUAAUAAAUAAAUAUUCUCGUUUUAAUAUACGCACGUGCGUGUACACAUACACAAACACGUACGUACGCACGCACAUAAAUACAUAGAAAGAUGGACAAUCCGUUGCGACAAUAUGAAAUAUUACGAAAUAUUCGUGAGAGGAUAGAUCAUGAUCGAGAUCUAGAAAUUCGAGGAUAAGACUACUAUAUAUAUAUAUAUAUAUAUAUAUAUAUAUAUAUAUAUAUUCGUAUCAAAUCGCAAAGAGAUGCAAUUUCAACGUAUCUCUCACGUACUUACUCACUUACUUACUUACUUACUUACUUACUUACUUACUUUCACGCAGAUGUGAUCGUUUAAAUCUUGAAAAAGAGUGUCCUUGAUUCAAAGUACAAUGAAUAGGGUAGAUUCGGUGACAGGGAAACGAAGUAUGAGUACUUCCUGGGUACCAUAGACGCAGAUGUGAUGCCAAUAGUUAUCACGUGCCGAUGACAAUAGCGAUUGCACCCAGUUUUUUCUCUCUCUCUCUCUCUCUCUCUCUCUUUCUAUUUUCUUUCUAAGCUACGGAAGAAUACUCUUGGAAGGGACAAUGCCUGGAACGAAAGAUAUCCCGGUAACAAUGCCUGACCACUUUUGGAACAUCUCCAAAAUUGAAACAAUUGGAAACUUAAGAUUUUUAGAGCCCGAUUAAUUUUACUUCUUAUUAUUGGAGGAACAAGCGUAGAAUAUUAUUAUUAAAUAAUUUAUUCUGUAUCUUCAAGAGUUAUGUUUACGUGUAAAAAGAAAAAAAAAAAAAAAAGAAAAAGAAAAAAAUAAUAAAGAAGAAGAACAACAGAAAGAAAUGAAAAUUAAAUGACGUUGUUAACGUGUUGAAUAUUAAAACAAUGCAACUUUUUUCUCUUGGAGUAUAAUAUUGCAUGAGAGAAAAGAAGGAUAAAAAAAGGAAAAAAAGUAUUAAACGAUUUCAAAAAAACGUUGCCGAAUAUUCUAUAACCUAUUCUCAUUUUUCUAGGAAAAGUAAAAUUACAUGAGGACAAAAUUGGACGAUUUUAUCGUUAAAAUUUCGGUCGAUGUUGCAACAAAGAAAUGAAUGGUAACCAGGAGAAAGGAAAUAUAUGAAAUUUCAAGAAGAGCAGCUGGUGAGAAGAUUGGCGUCGAUCCGUGAAAAGAUAGAAGGGAUCUGGAGGGGAGGGGAGAAAGAGAAAAAGAAAAAGAAAAAGAGAGAGAGAGAGAGAGAGAGAGAAGGGGCGGGGGAGCACGCGCGAGAUUAGAAAAGAAAAUCGAGGGGGGUAAAAUAGGAAAGUUAGGGGAAAAAGGACAACGUGGCACGAACCUACCCCACGAGGGUUAGAGGCCAAUGUGGUACAGUUCUCCCUAACUCACUUCUUCCCCUCCCCCAUCUCCCACUCUUCAUCCCUCUUACUAACUAAACGUACGUGUAGGUACACGUGCUCGGGAAGGGUAGUCCCUGCUUCUAAAAGCUACCAUUGCUUCCGGUGAAUACCCACAAACGUUUCUACUACCUACCUAUCGAACACGUUAAGACUACGAUGAAAGAAAGAGAAAGAGAUAGAUAGAUACAUAGACCGAAGGAGAGAGAGAGAGAGAGAGAGAGAGAGAGAGAGAGAGAGAGUGAGUGCGUGAGUGUGUAAGUGAGUAAGAAAGAGACAGAAGAAGAGAGGGAUAUCAGAGCAAGCAACGCAACGGAAUCGCAGUACACACUAGGACGACUAACGAACGCGAGUGAUAUUCGCGCGAGUGCGCGAGAUUUUAACGAAUGACAGUGAGGAAUUAUCAAUAUCGUUCAACGACGUUAAAGAGAUGAUCUUGGAAUAGAAUUUAUUUGUCUAUUUUAUAUCUAGACACGUCGUCAAUAGAGAUAUUCCUCUAUGUAUUUCGUUGAUUCUCAUGAGAAUUAAAUAAAGGAUAUAUGGAUUAAUUAGUAUAAAUGUGAAACGAAUCGCUCGAUAUAUUCGUCCGGUCGGAGGAAUGAUAAUGAAAUUCGUGAAUUCUUGAGAUUUUGAUUCGCCGUCGACGGAGUUGAAGAGAGAGAGAGAGAGAGAGAGAGAGAGAGAGAGAGAAAGAGAGAGAAAAAAAGUAAAAUAUACGAGAAUGAGAAUAAGGAGAAGAACGAAGUACAUUGAGUGUUCGAUUUCAACGUGGAGUUUCGUGAACGUUUGGAGAGAAACUAGGACCGACAAUAUCACGUGGUUGUGCGAUCAUAUUAGUGACAAUAAUAACAAGUGACGAUAUCUUGAUAUUUGAAAAAAAAAAGAAGAAGAAGAA